CUGCCACGCCUUACAGCAUACACGGCUGCCUUCCCGGAACAGCUGUUCCUUGCAAACAUUUCCCACGGAGAUCUUCGGUUUAAUUCCGUGCAUUUGCAUUUUCACCGGCUCUGUCUGCAUGAAGUUAAAAUAAAACGUCACAGAGCAAGUCCGGCCAGAAAAUCCCAGCCUGGGAUUUUGCGGACAAUGGGCUCUACCCCCGCCCGGGAAGUUACAGAGAUCUUGGCAGAGGCCGCGUGGGGACUUGGGGGAAGGGAGCAGCAGGGAUUUCCACUUCUAUGAGGUAGCAGCAAGUGGGAAUCCAGUCCCUCCCUCUACUCCAGUCUCCAGCUCAAGGACCUAAACUAUGAAGCAACUGUCCACUCAAAGAAAGACCCACCCUACUUCACUUUUCCCUCAGCCAUUUUUUUGCUUUGGAACGUCUCUUCCUAGGCCUUAUCCAGCAUCGUCAGCCAGGUACUUCCCAGGUUCCUUCCCUGGUUAUUGCAAUGACCACAUGUAACUGAAAAGGAGAAAGUCAGCACUGAAAGCAGGUAGCCUUCCCACCAACGUCUCUGAAAGAAACAGCAGAUCAUCAGCAGAAAUGUACUCCACACAGUCUGCCAACUUUGCUCCUUACUCACACCUUCCCUUCCUAAAAACUGUUAUAUUCUUAUUUCACUCAAUAUCAUCUAAAAACACCACAUAUUAAUCAGCAAUACAGCCAAAGUGGAAAUGUAAGAAGUUUGCCUUUUAUUUUGCAUCUAAGAACAGAAUAAUUAUUUAACGAUUAUGGUAUUGGUUUUGCAAGAUUUAUAAAACUGAAAAGUAAUUAAUUGUUCACUUUAGCAGAUAUAUUAACAACAGUAAUGGAGGUUCGAUACUUGUACAAGCCUUUCAAUUAGAAAGUCUUUUGAAACAAACUUUUUUUUAUUAUUAAUUAGGGGCAAAGCAUUCUUUAAGGAAAAAGGCGAAGAUCAAUAUUUUGAAAGGUGAUUAAUGAUUUUAGGUAUCUUCAUUUUUGGUUGAGUGUCCAUUAGAGCUUGUUUAUUAAAUUGUUACAGAGUUUUCAUAUGAUUUUCUUCAUUUGUGCCUCUGCUUCAUGAUCUUGAUCUUCCACAAUACCUACAUUUCACAAGAAUGGUGGUUCUCAAACUAUCGGGUGCGCCUCCUAAGGGAGGCAUGGGAAUAUGUCAAGGGAGGUGCGAGUUGUGUGAUUUUUUUUUAAAAAGAGCUCUGGUUGUCAGCCCUGGAUGGCUGGGACUCAUGCAGAAGGGCUGUACACACCUGGGAGGCAGGGACAAAGGGGAACGCCGGAGCCCUACCACCCCAGAGCUGACAGCUGGAGCCUGGCCACCCAGGCUCAGGUUC